rnacentral:rRNA from 1 species
UACGGAGGGUGCAAGCGUUAUCCGGAUUCACUGGGUUUAAAGGGUGCGUAGGUGGGCAGGUAAGUCAGUGGUGAAAUCUCCGGGCUUAACCCGGAACUGCCGUUGAUACUAUCUGUCUUGAAUAUAGUGGAGGUGAGCGGAAUAUGUCAAUGUAGCGGUGAAAUGCUUAGAUAUGACAUAGAACAUCGAUUGCGAAGGCAGCUCGCUACGCUAUUAUUAGACA